GGAGGAAACCCCCGAGGCACGGGGAGAACAUGCAAACUCCUGUUGUUAGUGUUUUUUGAGGUGGUGUCCAGGGACGAUGUGUCCUGCAGAGCCUGAUGUCCCUUCACUUGAAUCUGAACAUGGUUCUUUCUGCUCAAUCUUACUGCAUACUUUCUGAGACAUUAAUGAUAACAUCGGUUUGCUUGAGUAGCAGGAAACGGACCACCAACAAGCCAGGAUACGUGUAACUUAUUAAAGAUGAGCAUAGAUGGUUAAAGGUCUUGCUCAGCAGUACAGACGUGGCAGCUCGCAGAUCUGGACCCCCAAACAAAGCUAUCUGCCCGAGCUUGGGCACACGUUCUUCUGACUGAGUUAUGCAGUUUGUGUUGUUCUCACAAUACAAGUUACAUGUAUUAUUAUCUGUCUGAUGACCUGCACUGAUGUUUAGAUGUUC